CGAACCACUAACCAACUCGGAUGAAUGGUUGGAAUUUCACAAGACAUGUUGCAUCCGAGUCAAAAAUGUUUUUGUUAAGAUAAAACCUUAUAUGUGACAUAUUUAGAUAUUGGUGAUUAGUUUUAAAAUAGAUAAAUAGUAAAAUAUAUGUUUACCCGUUAUUUAAAAAAUUGCUGGACUCGGUAUGUGGAGCCGGGUAAGCUCGACCCGAUUACCCACAUCUGGAUUCAACCGAGUAUAUUUUGUUUAAGCUUCUUCUCAAAAGUAAAAAUCAGGAAAAAGGGGGCUGUAAAAUAAAAUCUCAUUCACAAUUAUCUUUUUCUUUCUCAAUAUACAUAUAUACUUAUUACAGAUCAGAUCAGUGUGUGUGUGUGUGUGUGUGAAAAAUGGGGUACACAAAAGGAUUAUUAUCGGCGAUAACGAGAGACGGCGAGCCGCUUGUGAAAAAACUAGCUGCAGUUUCCGUCUUCGGCGUUCUUCCGGCAGCCAUGAUCGCUUCUCUCAUUUAUUCUCCACCUGAUUACUUCUACAAUCGCAACAACAACAAAUCAUCUUCCUCCAAAGAUUAGGGACUAGUUGGAAGUUGUAGAAAUGUGUGGGGCAAAAGGAUCGACUGAAUAACCUAAUGGUCAUUAUGUUAGCGGUAUUAUGGUUAUAGCCAUUUGGAAACUUAGUUUUGCUUGUUUAAGCCAUUUGUUUCUGCUAUAUACUUGAUCAGCCAUCUAAUAAAAGUUGACCAUUGCAACUGUCUUAAAGCA